GUAAUACCGGCACCUCAAGUGGUCGUCGCUUUUAUUGGGCCUAAAACGUCCGUAGCCGGUUUGGUAAAUUUGUGGGUAAAUCAACCAGCUCAACGGGUUGAAUUCUGCAGGGACGGCCAGACUAGGGACCGGGAGAGGUGUGGGGUACUCUCGGGGUAGGGGUAAAAUCCUGUCAUCCUUAGAGGACCACCAGUUGCGAAGGCGCCACACCAGAACGGAUCCGACGGUCAGGGACGAAACCUAGGGGCACGAACCGGAUUAGAUACCCGGGUAGUCCUAGGUGUAAACGCUGUGAACUCGGUGUCGGGGGUCC
rnacentral:rRNA from 1 species